rnacentral:rRNA from 1 species
AUUGAACGCUGGCGGCAGGCCUAACACAUGCAAGUCGAGCGAGCGGCGGACGGGUGAGUAAUUUCUGGGAAACUGCCUGAUGGAGGGGGAUAACUACUGGAAACGGUAGCUAAUACCGCAUACCAUCAGAUGUGCCCAGGUGGGCUUAGCUAGUAGGUGGGGUAAUGGCUCACCUAGGCGACGAUCCCUAGCUGGUCUGAGAGGAGGAUCAGCCACACUGGGACUGAGACACGGCCCAGAAUCCUACGGGAGGCAGCAGUGGGGAAUAUUGCACAAUGGGCGAAAGCCUGAUGCAGCCAUGCCGCGUGUAUGAAGAAGGCCUUCGGGUUGUAAAGUACUUGCAGUCGGGAGGCGUUACCCGCAGAAGAAGCACCGGCUAACUCCGUGCCAGCAGCCGCGGUAAUUC